rnacentral:lncRNA from 1 species
CUAUCGUUUUGGUCUGGGUCGCGGGCCAGAAAAAAAAAUGCCCCAGUCCGGCCUCAGUCGUUUGGGUCGGGCUGUGCGUCUUGGGGUGCCAUAUCUCAUAUAAACGAUUGACAAAAAAUAUACAAAAAAUAACCAUUUCAUUAAUACUAGUUGAAACUGCUUACAUGUUUAAACAUAGCUAUGUUUAAUUAGCAUUAAAUUUUAAGGCGG